UAGCCUCGAUCCCAGGCCGAGUUUUCGCUUUUAUAACGGUUAGGCGAACAACUGGGCCUGGUACUAGUUGUCUGCGCAUGCGUCAGUCGUUCGUCAGAUUCUGACGAAUGGAUAUUCUCGAUCACUUUCGUGACAUUUAUAUUCGUGUACUAGAAGUCAGUUCCCGUUUUAUCAUUAUUUGGAAUGGCUCUUAGCUGAAGCUUCUCUCUUCUCUGAAGCUUAUUCUGAAGACUGAACAACAAGGGAAGAGGUAUAAAGCUUUGUCAAGCUUGUUAAGGAGCAAUGGCUAAUAUCCAGCUAUCCCAACAGUGCUCCUCUUGGCUAUACUAACGGACGAGACUGGACAGUUUGAGGACUGGAGUAUGACCUGCUCAUUCGAGUGUUGCUGGGUAGCUCAGAGACAUCAAGAGAAUCUACGUUUUCUCAAGCAAAAUUUAACUGAGUUACGAGUUGGGGCCUAGAAUCAGAGAAGUCCAGCAGCCUGCUAAAUCUUUUUGAAACGUAAUUUGAAGGCAUUCAAUCAUCCUGAGUUGCCCUGGGUCACUGUAAUUGUGCUGCAAGCACAACUGGCAACUCCCCAGGCCUUUGUGAAGCAGCUCCCUAUGUGCAUCUUUUGUGUACUCACUCUGUGCAUUUUCUGUCUACAAAUUUCCAUUAUUGAUUUAUUAAAUAUUUUUGCCGACCACAAAUAUACAAUGAAAAUUUGACGCAUG